rnacentral:rRNA from 1 species
GCUGGCGGCAGGCCUAACACAUGCAAGUCGAGCGGAAACGGCAGUAUUGAAGCUUCGGUGGAUUUACUGGACGUCGAGCGGCGGACGGGUGAGUAACGGCUGGGAACCUGCCCUGACGAGGGGGAUAACCGUUGGAAACGACGGCUAAUACCGCAUAAUGUCUUGAUUCGUUAGAGUCAGGACCAAAGGUGGCCUCUACAUGUAAGCUAUCGCGUUGGGAUGGGCCCAGUUAGGAUUAGCUAGUUGGUAAGGUAAUGGCUUACCAAGGCAACGAUCCUUAGCUGGUUUGAGAGGAUGAUCAGCCACACUGGGACUGAGACACGGCCCAGACUCCUACGGGAGGCAGCAGUGGGGAAUAUUGCACAAUGGGGGAGACCCUGAUGCAGCCAUGCCGCGUGUGUGAAGAAGGCCUUCGGGUUGUAAAGCACUUUCAGCAGUGAGGAAGGUCGUGUACUUAAUACGUGCACGGCUUGACGUUAGCUGCAGAAGAAGCACCGGCUAACUCCGUGCCAGCAGCCGCGGUAAUACGGAGGGUGCGAGCGUUAAUCGGAAUUACUGGGCGUAAAGCGCAUGCAGGCGGUUUGUUAAGUCAGAUGUGAAAGCCCGGGGCUCAACCUCGGAACCGCAUUUGAAACUGGCAGGCUAGAGUCUUGUAGAGGGGGGUAGAAUUUCAGGUGUAGCGGUGAAAUGCGUAGAGAUCUGAAGGAAUACCAGUGGCGAAGGCGGCCCCCUGGACAAAGACUGACGCUCAGAUGCGAAAGCGUGGGUAGCAAACAGGAUUAGAUACCCUGGUAGUCCACGCCGUAAACGCUGUCUACUUGGAGGUUGAGGUUUUAGACUUUGGCUUUCGGCGCUAACGCAUUAAGUAGACCGCCUGGGGAGUACGGCCGCAAGGUUAAAACUCAAAUGAAUUGACGGGGGCCCGCACAAGCGGUGGAGCAUGUGGUUUAAUUCGAUGCAACGCGAAGAACCUUACCUACUCUUGACAUCCAGCGAAGCCUUUAGAGAUAGAGGCGUGCCUUCGGGAGCGCUGAGACAGGUGCUGCAUGGCUGUCGUCAGCUCGUGUUGUGAAAUGUUGGGUUAAGUCCCGCAACGAGCGCAACCCUUAUCCUUGUUUGCCAGCACGUAAUGGUGGGAACUCCAGGGAGACUGCCGGUGAUAAACCGGAGGAAGGUGGGGACGACGUCAAGUCAUCAUGGCCCUUACGAGUAGGGCUACACACGUGCUACAAUGGCAGAUACAGAGGGCAGCGAGACAGCGAUGUUUAGCGAAUCCCUUAAAGUUUGUCGUAGUCCGGAUUGGAGUCUGCAACUCGACUCCAUGAAGUCGGAAUCGCUAGUAAUCGUGGAUCAGAAUGCCACGGUGAAUACGUUCCCGGGCCUUGUACACACCGCCCGUCACACCAUGGGAGUGGGCUGCACCAGAAGUAGAUAGCUUAACCUUCGGGAGGGCGUUUACCACGGUGUGGUUCAUGACUGGGGUGA